GCAGUCGAGCGGGGAAGGUAGCUUGCUACCGGACCUAGCGGCGGACGGGUGAGUAAUGCUUAGGAAUCUGCCUAUUAGUGGGGGACAACAUCUCGAAAGGGAUGCUAAUACCGCAUACGUCCUACGGGAGAAAGCAGGGGAUCUUCGGACCUUGCGCUAAUAGAUGAGCCUAAGUCGGAUUAGCUAGUUGGUGGGGUAAAGGCCUACCAAGGCGACGAUCUGUAGCGGGUCUGAGAGGAUGAUCCGCCACACUGGGACUGAGACACGGCCCAGACUCCUACGGGAGGCAGCAGUGGGGAAUAUUGGACAAUGGGCGCAAGCCUGAUCCAGCCAUGCCGCGUGUGUGAAGAAGGCCUUAUGGUUGUAAAGCACUUUAAGCGAGGAGGAGGCUACUUUAGAUAAUACCUAGAGAUAGUGGACGUUACUCGCAGAAUAAGCACCGGCUAACUCUGUGCCAGCAGCCGCGGUAAUACAGAGGGUGCAAGCGUUAAUCGGAUUUACUGGGCGUAAAGCGCGCGUAGGCGGCUAAUUAAGUCAAAUGUGAAAUCCCCGAGCUUAACUUGGGAAUUGCAUUCGAUACUGGUUAGCUAGAGUGUGGGAGAGGAUGGUAGAAUUCCAGGUGUAGCGGUGAAAUGCGUAGAGAUCUGGAGGAAUACCGAUGGCGAAGGCAGCCAUCUGGCCUAACACUGACGCUGAGGUGCGAAAGCAUGGGGAGCAAACAGGAUUAGAUACCCUGGUAGUCCAUGCCGUAAACGAUGUCUACUAGCCGUUGGGGCCUUUGAGGCUUUAGUGGCGCAGCUAACGCGAUAAGUAGACCGCCUGGGGAGUACGGUCGCAAGACUAAAACUCAAAUGAAUUGACGGGGGCCCGCACAAGCGGUGGAGCAUGUGGUUUAAUUCGAUGCAACGCGAAGAACCUUACCUGGCCUUGACAUAGUAAGAACUUUCCAGAGAUGGAUUGGUGCCUUCGGGAACUUACAUACAGGUGCUGCAUGGCUGUCGUCAGCUC
rnacentral:rRNA from 1 species